UUGAUACAUUACCUUGUGCAUCUCCACCAGUUACAGAUACCACCCCUGGAUGAAGGAAGAGUACUUCUAGAGAAGAUGCCACAUCUACCUAUGAGACAGAUAAGGAAAGUUAAGACGAUACCACACUCCGGUACUUAGAAGUUUCGUGGUUACGAGAUCAUUUUCCCACAAUAUUUCCUAAUGUCAUUUGUACUAAAUCAUUCACUUGUACUCCUUAAAGGAGAGCUUGAACCUAUGUACUUGUGUAAACCCUUCACAAUUAAUGAGAACUCCUCUAUUCCGUGGACGUAGCCAAUCUGGGUGAACCACGUACAGCUUAUGUUUGCUUUCCUAUCUCUAUCCAUUUAUAUACUUAUCCACACUAAUGACCGGAGCAAUCUAGCGAAUAUCACAAAAAGUGACCGUUUUCGCUACCUAGGAUCUAUCUUGCAAGAGAACGGAGAAUUAGAUGAAGAUCUCAACCAUAGAAUGCUGGAUGGAUGGAGUGUAAGAGUGUAUCCGGCGUGUUGGGUGACCGUCGUAGGCCACUGAAGCUCAAGGGAAAAUUUUAUAGGACGACAAUAAGGCCAGCGAUGUUGUAUGGCACAGAAUGUUGGGCGGUGAAGCAUCAACACGUACAUAAAAUGGGUGUAGCGGAGAUGAGGAUGCUUCGUGGGAUGUAUGGGCACACGAGAAAGGAUAAGAUGGGGAAUGAGGAUAUCCGAGGUAAAAGAGGAGUAGCCAAAAUUGAAGGAAAUAUGUGAGAAAAUCGGUUCCGGUGGUUUGGACAUGUGCAAAGAAGGCCUACUGACGCUCCGGUUCGAAAAUGUGACUACGGGACAGAGGUUCAGGGUCGAAGGGGUAGAGGAAGACCUAGGAAAACUUUGGAAGAGACCCUAAGAAAAGACUUGAGUACUUGGAUCUAACGGAGGACAUGACACAAAACCGAGCGCAAUGGCGUUCUAGGAUUCAUAUAGCCGACCCCACUUAGUGGGAAAAGGCUUUGUUGUUGUUGUAGUUGUUUGCAAAACAGGCUUACCAAACAAGUUUUUGAGUUGGAAUUUGAUAAAUAGUUUUGAGUUUAACCUUGGAUUCAAAUAAAGUACCAAACGGGUUCUAAAACUCCCAAAUUAACUACAACCCUAGCCAACUAUCUGGCUCGCGGACUCACUUAGCUUCGAGAACCCCUUUGAUGCUCCUGCAUCAACUGAUAACGCUACUACAAAUUCAAAAAUUUCAAGGCCAACCCAAUAUGCAAAUCUGCAUAAUUUCAACAAUUUCAUCAAAUUGCAGGGUGUUUAUAUUCACAAAUCAUGAAACUUACACCAAAUAAUAAAAGUGGGUUACUUUUGUAAACAAUUCAUCAGAUUACGAACUAACAAAGAAUGUAAUUUCAAGAAAAUGUGCAAGUUCAUCAUCAAUGAAAAGCAGUUCAUUGCCCCAUUAGUACAAAAACAGAAAAACCCACAAAAAUCCAUAUUUUUUUCCUUUUUUAAUUUCUAAUUAUUCUUUCAGCUUCUGGGCGCUUGCGAUUUUGCCCAAUUCCCAUCACAGAAAACAAAUUGUGAUAUUUAAAAAGGCUGUGUAAAUAGAUGAAACAAUUCAUGAAUUGAACAGAAAAGGAGCCCCUAAAACGGCUAAUCGAAUGCGCAUUCGGCUAGAAAUUUAAAUUUCAGACGGAAAAAAUUCAAAAUUGAGCAGCAGUUUCUACAUACGCGAAAGCAAGAGAGGAAGAACGAGUAGCUAAAGGACCAAUGCUUACUGAAUAUAGCUGGAGAGGACUCGGAUGAAGGGCUGCUACUGUAUGAGAGAGGAGAGCACAAAUGACACAAAGAAUCGAAUAGGGCUAAUGUUUUGUUUUCUUUUAAGUUUCAAUUAAAAAUUCAUACAACAAUUUCAUUUUUGUUAUUUUUUUUCUUAUUUAUUAUUGGGUAGAUGAUUUUCACCUACCCUGACUUCUCACUAUUUUUAAUUUUAAUAAUCAGAUUAAUAAAGCAAACAAGAACAAUUGACAAAAUUUAACAAGUAGUGUAAAAAUUAAAAAGUGUUUAUGUUUAUUACUUCACUUUUAUCAAAAUGGCUUUAUAUAAUUUAAUAAAAAACGCUUAAUGAAUUACUAUAAAUAAUAAUAACAAAAUCAAGAUAGCUGUGGUGAUAGUAUCGUAAAUGAAUUUAGUUUGACCGCGGUAACUAUAUAGUAAAUAAGUUAAAGCUAUUUCUUCAUAAAAUUUGUAAUUGUCCUUACAAAUAAAAAAACGUUCAUUAGAUAUUAUUGGAUAAAAAUAAGUUGGUGAGGCAUUUUUCAUUAGUCUUAUAAUUUUUUAUUUUUGUGGUGGGAGGGUAAAUUGGCAUGCUUAAAUAGGACUCAAAACUAAAGUGAAAGUUGUUCGAUCCUACAUCGUCCAAGGGAAUGGAUCCUCUAUACAUUAUAUGUACAUGUCCACCUCCUUUAGCACGAGGUCUUUUGGGAGCUCACUGGCUUCGGAUUCCGAAGGAACUCCGAAGUUAAGCGAGUUCUCCCCAGGAUAGAUGAUCCACUGAGGAGUUCUCGUGUGAAUUUCUAGAAACAAAACUGUGAGGGCGUGGUUGGAACCCAAAGUGAACAAUAUCGUACUACAACGGAGUCGAGCUCGAGAUGUGAUGAAACCCGAGUAGGGAUGUAACAAAAGUGGUAAAAAUAAAAAAGUCAAAAGUUAAGCAUAAUUAGUAAAAGGUAUAGUAAGUGAAGCAAGUGUAUAACUUUACUAAAAUAAUACUUUGAAAAUUUAGGCAUUUUUUUAAUUUUAAUAUUUAUUUAAUUGAUAAUAUGUUAAAAAUAUGAAUAAAAUGCAUGAAUUUUAUAUGUAUUAUUGAAAGAGAUGUGAAAAUAACGUGUUUUAAACGUGAAAAAAAAAAUGUAUUGUGCAUUGGAGUUUUAGGGGGGUGUAUUCAAUUAGGAUUUUGAGGGAUUUUAAUUCUUGUAAUGAAUCUAGGGGUAUUCAAUCAAGAUUUUAAGUGAUUCUUUGAAAUUCAAGAUGUAUUCAAUUAGAAUUUUAAGAUAGUUUAUUAAAAUCCUUAGAGAUCCGGAUGUCUUCAAUUAGGAUUUUAAAGAAGUUUAUAACAUUACAUGUGUAUUCAAUUAGAAAUUAAUUUUAAAGAAUUUGAGAAAGUUGACGUAACUUUCUGCUUCUUAGUAUCUGUAGAAUUAUCAGAGAGACGGGCCAAGGGUCCACUUCCAACAACACCGAUAUUGUCCCCAACUUGAUAAUUACCACCUGCACAAUCCGUCAGGUGUAUGAUUUUAUCACAAAAGGCCCCGGUAUUAGUUGGAGUGAGUUUAAGAUAUUUAAACUCUUAUUUUCUCAUUGAUACAAUCGAUGUGGGACAUUUCAGCAUUAUCCACCUUCUCUCUCACACUCCAAACACCAUUUGAAAAUUCUAUCAAAGCUGAUAGCAGUUUGUGACUACUUUUUUGCAGAGUUAGCCAUUCAACAAAGAACAUAAAAAAUAUUUAUCCAACAAAAACCACUAAUCAUUAAAAUUCUAAAAACACCACACAAAUUAAAAUUCAAAAGCUUCAAGUCAUAUAAGUAAAACACACCACAAACAUCAACGAGAAAAAAUUCAAAGCGAUAGCAAGAGAAAGAAAGCAAAAAUAGAAGAAAAUUUUGGUGAGUAGAUAGUGGAAAAUAUUAUUAAUGAGUGAUCAUGACCUUUCUCCUUUGGGUAACAUGCUUUGUCCUUGUCAAGUCUUUUUAAACUUUAAGGUACGUGUCUCUGAUUGCGCUCAUUUUUCUAAUAACCACGUCCAUCAACAUCCGCUCCCUUGGUGAUGUUGCACAACAAGAGAGUCCUAUCUGCAUCACUGAAACCAAGCAUUCCUUUAAUUUCUUUGCUUUCACUAAGCCACCAUUGUUACAUCUGGAUGGAGUUCAUUCUCGCACUAUGUCAUUGUUGAUAUCACCAUCUGUUUCGAGGUCGAGGAUAAUUGAAUUGUCAACAACGUCCAUGAAAUGGUCAGGCAAAGCCAUGGCUACAAAUUGGUAAAUGCUUAGACCGCCUUUAAACAUGUCAACGGUAGGUCUUUUUCUUGUGAACAUUUCCAGCAAUAGUAUCCCAUAGCUGUAAACAUCUCCAAGUAUGGAAACUUGGCCUCCUGUGCCGUACUCUGCCAGGACAGACAUACAAUAUGUCGUAUGCAAUUGACUAUUAGAACAACAUAUUCUUUAGAUUUAUAUGUUAUUUAUUUUCCAAGAAAAAAAGAGGCAGUACUAUAUUUUUCAUAAAUAGAGAUUAAUUAGUUGUUUUUUUGUAAUAAUUUACUAAGAACAUAAAAAGGAAGUUAGAAUGACAGAAACUCAUACCUGGAGGAAUGUAGCCUAUAGAACCCUUUAGCUGAGAUGACAUUGUUUGACUGAAUGAGGGAUCAUUUGAUGUUUCGAAAAGGAACCUUGCCAAACCAAAAUCCCCAACAUGGGCUACCAUAUCUUCAUCAAGUAGUACGUUGCUCGGCUUUAGAUCACAAUGAACAAUGGCCGUUUCACAAUGGUGGUGGAGAUAAUCUAACGCAGAAGCAACAUCAAUGGCGAUGUUCAAUCUUUGCAUAAAACUCAUUCUUUUGCUUGGAGAUUCCUCCUCAUAUCUUGGAUACAACAUUGAGUCUAGACUUCCAUUUGCCAUGAACUUGAAAACUAGACUUUUGAAGUCCUUGCCCUGGUUAUCAAAGCUCGAGCAUGCAGUUAUGAUCUUGAGAAGAUUACGAUGCCUUAUACUCCUUAAAGCUUUGCAUUCAUCUAUGAAACUCUUGGAAGCUCCUUGUUGUUGAAGGUUUAGUACCUUAACAGCAACUAUUGUUCCAUCACUAGGAAUUACCCCUUUAUAAACUGAACCAAAACUUCCCAAACCAAUAAGAUUAUCCGCAGAGAACCCGUUAGUUGAUUCAACGAGUUGUGAGUAGGAGACACCUGAUUUCCAAUCCUUAUAUGAACGUGAAGUUGCAAGUCUAUCUCUUGACUUUUUCAGCAUUGAACAAGCGACACAGAAGCAUGAUAGAACAAUUAUGAUUCCAAAUACACAGGCAAUGGGGAUGACUACUUUUGGGGAAUGUAGUCCUCGAGAUGAAUGGUGUUUUGGGGGGGGGGGGGCCAUGAAGGUAGAUGUAAUUGUGGGAUGCCACCACAGAGCCUAUGAUUUCCAAGAACAAAAACCCCACUAGCAUUUGCAAAAAUACCAUAUUUAGGCAGCUCGCCCUCAAAAUCAUUAUACGAAAGAUUGAGAUACUUGAGAGCACCAAGCUUGCCUAUGAAUUCAGGAAUCGGCCCAUACAAGUUGUUGCUUGAAAUAUCAAGUUUUUCCAAGCCUUUCAAAUUCUUAAGAGAUUGUGGAAUGGUUCCUUCAAACUUAUUACCUUGCAAAGACAAGCGCUCCAAACUAGUACAACUGCCGAGGGUGCGCGGGAUUUCACCUAAUAAAUUGUUUCUUGAUACAUUUAGCUCCGUGAGAUGCACUAAAUCACCCACCUCAAAGGGCAUCAGACCCGUCAAAUAAUUAUCAGACAGGUCUAAAGAAAUUGAAAGAGUUGAAAGCUCCAUAAGCAUUUUAGGUAUGGUGCCCGUAAGGUUGUUACUGGAAAGGGAAAGAUCUAAUAGGUUAUGGUAAUUUCCCAGACAUGGAGGUAUACUGCCCUCAAACCUAUUGAACUCCAUGUAAAGGUUUAACAAUGAAGUCAUGUUACCAAGGGAAGACAGGAUUGACCCAGAAAAUUCAUUAGCAUCCAAAUACAGUUACUCUAACUUCUUUAGCUUCCCAAUUUCAAGCGGGACACUACCACCCAAAUGGUUAUCGUCUAAUGCUAGAAUAUUCAAGUUUAUAAGGUUUCCAAUGCCGUUAGGGAGGCUUCCAUGUAUCAAGUUUAACCCUAGACCAAGAAUAUUAAGUUGGGUCGACAAGUUGGCUAUGGAUCCCGGGAUUCCUCCUCCAAAAUUAUUACCGUCAAGAGCCAAAAUCUCCCAUCUAGUGCAAUUAGCCAAGAAACUAAGAAAAUUCAAGUCACCAACUUUUCUAUUUCCUAAUUGAUUGCCAUAAAUGUUUAGCCAAACUAAGCUUCGCAAGCUUCCUAGACUUUCACCAGGGACUGUCCCAGAGAGGCCAUUUUCACCAAGUUCAAGGGUCUGAAGUCUAGAAGCAUUUGACAAUGAUAUAGGAAUAUUUCCUCGGAAUUUGUUCAAAUCGGUAUAGUUGUACGAGAUUAGGAAGCAUUGUGCCGAGAUUUGGUGGUAGCUCUCCAUGCAAUUGGUUCUCAGCAACACUAAAAAGGUAUAUGGAAGAAAUAUUAUAGAUUGUGGAAGGGACCAUACCAGAUAGAUCAUUCACCUCAACUACGAACUCCUCCAAGCUUGUUAUGUGCCCAAGCUCAUUGGGUAUGCUUCCUUGAAAUCUGUUCUCGCCAAGGUGAAGACUACUCAACAAAGAAAAGUUUCCCAUCCAAGGUCGGAUGGUUCCAGUGAGAUUGUUACUUGAAAGCCUCAAAUGUGUUAAACGCAACAAUGAAAUAAGCUGGAUUGGAAAUGACCCAAUAAUCCCAUUGACUUCAAGAUUAAGCAUUCUUAGUCGUGCACAGUGCGAUAUAUUAGUUGGAAUUUUCCCGCUGAAAGAAUUGCGAGACAGGUUGAGGUAUUGCAAGCUUCUUAGACGACCUAUUUCUUGAGGAAUUUCACCAUGAAAUAUGUUUUUUCCCAAGUUGAGUCCUGUGAUGUAAGUAAGAUUUCCAAUGGAAGGUGGUAGGGAGCCUACCAAUUUUUGAGCUUCUAGGUUCAACGUUUUAAGACUCUUUUGGUGGAAUGGUGGCAAGAAACCCCAACCCAACAACAGAUAUCGAUGGAAUGAUUCCAUGAGCUCAUGACAUUGAGAGGAUCUCCGGUUAUUCUUUUCUUGAAAUCAAGCAAAGCCAAGCAGUCAGAUUCAUUUCCAAGCAGAGUAGGGUGGUGAAGUGCUGCAGAUUCUGGACAUGUGAUCAUCCAUAAAAGAAUGAAACCAUGUAGGAAUUUCAAUAAAACAAGCUUUCCAUUGGUACGUGAAUGCUCCAUGUUUGCUCUAAAUUGCACAGAGGAAAUUAAUCAGAACCCUUUUUUCAAUUGAGAUAGCAGCUAUGACGACCAAAAAUGAUAAAGCUCCCGCCGUGUUUUAUAAUUAAGGAAUAACAGAAGAGUCAGAUCAACAUAGUUCACAAAAGAUAAUCGUUGAGAGAAAAAAGACAUUGUUUGGUACUAAUGCACCCGCUUUUUCUCCACAACUGUUUAUAGUCUCUUCAAAAUGAAAAAUUAUUCCCCAUAACAUACCUUGAGUUUUAUAAAAGGGGUUUUGAUAUAAGUGCCUCAAUUUUAAAUAUUUUGAAUCAAACAUCUAUAGCUUUUAAAAUUUUGAUCAUACAUUUUUCUACUAAUUUUUAAUUAAAAAAUUAUGAUUUUUAUGAGAUUUAAUUUACCAAUUAGUUCACAAAUUAAUAUCACAAAUCUCCUAAAACCGCAACAAAUAUCCUAUCUUAUGUAUUAUAAUUCGUUUGAAAAUAAUUUUUUUACAGCUCAACUAAACUUUUUUUUUCAUUCUCCUAAUACAUCAAAUAUCCUAUUAACAUACAUUUAUGAGAUAUAGGAUGCACAUAUAUUAAAUAUAAUGUACCAAUCAUUUAUUACAUUAUUGGUACGUUAUAUAAAUUUCAUUAGGGUACGUAUUAAUAGUUUGGUAAGUUAUAAAUUAUUACUUUUGGUACAUUAUGCAAUUAUUUAUUUCGUACAUACCAAGUUAUUAGUGCUUUGUGUUAACCUUAAUUGAUACGCACCAAGUUAUUGGUACAUUUUGUUAUCCUUAUUUUAAUUAUAAAAGAAUUCUUAUUUUUUUAUAUGUAUAAAAUGUUGAGUUGAAAACUAAAAAAUUAUAUUCCAUCCAAUUAAUCUUCAUCCCACUAGAUAUAAUUGAAUCCAUAAAUUGGGGAAGGGAUGAGAUUUCAUAAAAAUAGCAAUAAAUUAAUUAAUAUUAUUGGGUACAUUUGUGAUAUGAAAAUUAAUUUAAAAUGAAUUUAAAAAACAUUUAAGUUAAGAAUAUACCUGGAUUAUAAGGUUUAAUCAAGGUGAAAGCACUUUAAUAAAAAAUCUUUAUUGCUGCUCUUUGUCUAGUGGAAAGCAGAAGAAAGCGGCUGACGGAUGAGUGAAUAAGAAAAGGGACGUCGGUAUGCAUGGUAUCUCAAAUAAAUUACGCACCGUUGUAUAAUUUUAGUUUCAAUACCGCCACGACAACAUUCUAAGCAAACUUAAGUCCUCUUAAAGAGAGACAUGCGCACUUCAAAUCCUUGUGAUUGAUUGUUUAGGCAAGAAAUGAACAUAUUCACUUAAGAAAAUGAUUAUCAUGCACAGAAGAAGGCCAUUGCCUAAUUAUUAAUUACUAUUAGAUGUUUAAUCCCGUUUAAAUCAUAUUAGAAAGGACGAGUUGAGAGAAAUUUAGAGAAAUUGGAUAAAUUAUUAACCAGAGAAGUAAGUAAAGCUUUUGAAGGUUUAAGUCCCACUUGCAUUGGCUUCCUAGUUUACCAGAAGUAAGUAAAGAGCUGCAUAAUUUGUACCAAAUGAAAAAAUUAUAGAAGUUUUUGGGAAUGUGGGAAGUAAAGAAUGAGAUCGGUUAUAAUCCUCUCUGAUCGAUCUAAUUUCUCAUUUUUCAUAUAUUGAAUUAUGGAUUGGUAGUGAUAAGCCAAAUUCGAAUUUGAAAAAAAAAAAUUAUUCUUAGAUUAAAUUUCUAGUUUUGAAUUCUGCCCGAACAAAACUGAAGUCUAUUUCAGUUUGUGGGGUUAAAAAACUGAAAUACUCAAGUUAAUUUAGGGGUCUGUGGGGCUAAAAAACUCAAGUCUAUUUCAUCUGCUUGAUAAGCCACACUGGACAACAGAUUCUAUAAAUCAAUGUUGGUGGAGGUGUUGUGCCGCAGCCUCAGGAAGAACAGAGCAAUGUGUUUGAAAUAAGGUCGUCUGACCGAAACUUUUCUGAAAAAUUAUUUUAAGCUAUUCAAAUUGGUUAGUAGGAAUAAAAAUACCGGUUAAAUAAAGAUUAUUAAUUACUAAUCAAAUUCAUGUCCGUCUACAUUAAUCUAUUAAGUAGGUAACUUAUCAAUUUUUUUUUUUGGGGGGGUGGAUUUUGUGUACCGGGUGAUGUGUUGGGGCGAGAUCUGAUCGGUCGAACAGGGUUUGUUUCUCGAAUCACAUUCAUUAGUUAUAUUAUUAAUGUGCUUCAGUAAGGGUUUUCGAUAUUGUUUUAAAUAACUAUACUACUUUUGUAGCGUAUGCAUGCGUAAGAAAAAUCCAAAUUGUAAUACAGGAUCUUAGGGCUGUGUGUUUUGUGUUUGAUAAGUCAGUGCUAGAAUACGAGCCGUUGCGUCUGGUUUGGAUACAUACAUGUGUAAGGUGGUACCCCCAUUUCAAGGCAAACGAGAACGCUCGACUAUGGUAACCUAAUGGCUUUCUUUGUUGUUUUUUCUUAAUGGGUUAUCGAUUCCUUGCUUUUUUACUGAGUUUUUGGCUCCGGAUAUUUUGCGUUUCACCGUGAAUCCUUAUUUGUUGUCGGGUUGCUAAAAGCAAAGCAAAACCUAUAAAAUUGGGCUUUCGGUAUCUGUUUGGGUUUUGUUUCUGUCUUAAUAUACUAGAUAAAGUUUGACAAUCUUAAUCAACAGUUGGAUGACGCAUGUAUUGGUUAUAUUUGUAGAACUCAAUGAAUACCUUUUAUCUUAAACUUAUAUCACGUAUUCGUAUUUAGUAAUAUCCAUUUGACUUGGGGACUAUAUUUUCUCAGAAAGAAUCAUGUUUUAUUUAAUUACUUACAAAAAAGAUUCAUAUAAAGUUGAAGCUUAAUGUAUGAGAAAGAGAGAGGCAGAUUACGUGUUGAAUAGCAUCAUGAAAAUCGUUCAAACAAUAUCAUGAAAGAGCACUCAACCUAUCUUCAGAAGUUCUCCCAAAUCAUACAUACAAAACAAACAUAUCAAACAAACAAAUAAAAACAAAACAAGCAGUAGUUACCUUUUUGUUUUCGUAACCUUUGGCCGGUACAGUAACGUUUCUGGGUGCCUACUCGGUCACUAAUGGCUUUAGUCACCGUGCAGUUACGAAUAAGGGGAUGCUGACAUAACUGUUGCCUCUUUGUCACGAUUAAUUGCAGUUCGUUACAUUCAGAAAAAAGAGAUUGAGAAAUUUUGAAUAAGAAAAGGCUUUGAAGGCAAAAGCUAGAAAUGUUGGUGUGUGUGGACUGUGAACUAUCAACUGGAAAGGGAAAGGAAAAGAAUACGCAGGGAGAGAGAGAGAGAGAGAUGGGGUUUAAAUAUGAGGGCAGAGUACGAAAGGAGAGGAAGCAAAAACAAGAGUGGUUAUCAAUGGUAAUUAGUGGAGUGAAAAAUAUCAUUGUUGGUGUCAAAUGCACUCACAUUUUCUCUUAAUUUUAGUGGUAGAAAACAAUAAAGUCUAUGCAUCAUAGUACUAAAGGGGAAUGAAUAAAUUAGUAGUGAACUCGUCACUCCUAAAAUUCGAACUCAAGACCUCUUGUAAAAAAAAUAUUACUAAACAGUAUUACUAAGUGACAAACAUCUUUUCAUUUACCGCGUGUCUUAUACUUAAGGAAUAAUGGAAGAGUUAGACCAACAAAUGUCCACAAUAUAUGGGAUCUGGAGAGUGAUAAUUUGUGGAGACGAAAAUGACAUUGUUUGGUACUACUACACCAAAUGCUCUCACGUUUUCUCUGAUACUGUUUCUAGUCCUUUUAACACUUUGAGGGUGGGUUUGUUGCACCGGACUGUCUCGGACUGGAUUAGCUGCAGGGACUAAGCUGGACUGGCUUAGACUAGACUAAGCUGGACUAGCUUAGUGAAGCGUUUGUUGCAAUAUCGGACUAGGAAGCCGGAUUAUAAUAUUAUAUUAUUUAAUCUAUAUCUAUUGAUAUUUUAUUAGUAAUUUAAUCUUAUAUCAAUUAAUAUUUAUUAUUUCUUUAUCAUUUUCCAUGAGCGGUAGGUCUCGGGUUCGAGACUUGGGAGCAGCCUCUCCAUAAAUGGGGGAAAGGCUAGCCGACAUUCACCUCUCCCAAACCCUGCGUAAAGCGGGAGCCUUGUGCACUGGGUACGACCUUUUAUCAUUUUCCAUUUUUCUAGAGUCAUCUUCUUCUCUAAUCUUUAUACAUCUCAAUUUUUUUUUCUCAUUGUUUACUCCGCCAGUGUCGCCCUCCACUCUCCCAUUUCCCUCCUUUUUCUACGCCGCCCCUUUCCUUUUUCCUGUUUCACCUUUGUACCACUAUCCUCUCUCCCCUCUCUCCGUUUGUAUUUAUUUUGUUUCACCUAAUAUGAAACGCUUGACGUGGGAGCUGGAGUUGUAGGUAAGCGGAGAGAUCUCAAAUUGCGAAGAUCGUUCUCAGAUCUUAAGUUCUUCAGGCGGAGAUCGAUCUCUCUGUUUUCUGGGUUUGAUUCAAGUUCAAUCGAAGAAAAUGGAGAACCCAUUUCUGCAUAUCGACCAAGUGUUCUUUCGUGGGUUCGUCAGGAAAUCAAGGUUGUGGGUUCGUCGGGAAAUCUGAGAUGUGGGCUCGUCGGGAAUUUGCAGAUUUUGUUUCUUUUUUAUCUAGAAAAAUGAAUUGCAGUUGACGAGUUCGGCGUCAGAGAUGAAGUCAUGCCCGAAGUCCUUGCCAUCAAAAUCGAGGUCGAGGAGGUGAAUCAAGCAGGACAAAGUGAGAUGCCGUCGAAAUUGAGGUCGAGGAGGUGAAUCAAGCAGAACGAAACGAAGUUCCUAGAUAAUCCUGUGGUUUUGGGGGGGGGGGACUCGUGAAGACCGGCUAGCGACACCUCUAGUGAAAGCAAGUCCCAGUUAAUCUCAUUAACUCUAGUCCCGCAAGCCACCAAACACAAGACUACAAUCCAAUCCAAUCCAGUGAAGGCUAAGAAGGGUAAACAAACGCCCCUGGAGUUCUUGAGGGAGGGGCAAGUGGAAAGCAAAAGAAUAUGCACAAAGGGAGAGAGAGAUGGGGUUUAAAUGUGAGGGCAGAGUAAGAAGAGUAAGAAAAAGCAAGAGCGGCAAUAGAUGGUAAUUAGUGGAGAGAAAAAUGUCAUUAUUGGGGUCAAAUGCACUCACAUUUUUUCUUAAUUCCACUGGCGGAAAGUAAUAAUACUUAUACAUCUUGAUACGGGUUAAAUCUUCAUCUCCCCCUAAUAUUGAACAAUAUAACCUAUUAAAGCUAUCGUUUCUCUCAAAAAAAAAAUACUUUUUAUACAACAAUAUAUUUACACACUAAGGAGGGGAGAAUAAUUGGUUAUCGUUGCUCUCAAAAACAAAUAUUUUUUAUAUAACAAUAUAUUUACACACUAAGGAGGAGAGAAUAAUUGGUUGUGAACUUGUCACUCUUGAGAUUCGAACUUAAAAUCUCUUAUAAGAAAAAUAUCACUAAACAAUAUUACUAAGUGGCAAACAUCUUUUCCUCCGCCUGUCUUAUAUUUAAGAAAAAAUGGAAGAGUUAGACCAACAUAAUCCACAACUUACUGGGUCUAGUGUGAUAAUUAAUGGGGAUAAAAAUGACAUUGUCUGGUACUAAUACGCUAGCUGCACCCAAUUUUUCUCCAAUACUGCUUCUUGUCCUUUUAAAAUACAAAACUUUUCUUUUCAAUUUACCUUAAAUUUUAUAAUAAGUAUAUAAUUCAAUAAAUUCUUUUUUUUUUUUUUGGUGAACGUAUAUAAUUCAAUAAAUUAUGGACACCAAACCAGCAAUAUAUAUGUAAUAUGGGAACCGGAUUCUUUCCGGAUCCUUUAAAACUGAGUCCACUAAUCAAUGAAUUUGAGCCGUUGGAAUUUGAUCCAACGACUACAAACAAGAAGCCCCCCUAAAAUUUAUAAUAAUUAUAGCCGUUGCAUCAAAUUUCAACAGUUCGAAUUCAUUGAUUAGUGAGCUCAAUUUUGGUGGAUCCGGAGGGGAUCCGAUUCCUGUAAUAUGUAGAAAAAUGGUAGAGAGUUAAAAUGUAACAUCUCACAUCAUCCAGGGAGUGGAUCCUAUAAGCCUUAUAUGUAUAUUCCAAUCUCUACCUAGCACAAAGUCUUUUGAGAGCUCACUAGCUUCGGGUUCCAUCGGAACUCCGAAGUUAAGCGAGUUCGCGCGAGAGCAAUCCCAUGAUGGGUGACCCACUGGGAAGUUUUCGAGUGAGUUCCUAGAAACAAAACCAUGAGAGCGUGGUUGGGCCUCAAAGCGGAUAAUAUCGUGUUACGGUGAAGUCAAGCCCGGAAUGUGAUGGGGACCUAGGGGGAUGUGACAUAAAACCCACGAACAAUUCAUUAAACUCGUGGCAUUUGAUAUAAGUUAACACUUUGGAAUUAUAAGAUUGGUUUAUGAAUUGAAUUUUUGACUGGAAGUCUUCCCUGCACAUCUAUCUAUAUAAUAUAAUAUAAUAUUAAUAUUUAAUAUCUAUUCUAUUACAUAUAAAACCAAUGAAAAUGUGAAUAGUGAUUUGGUGUCAGUAACUUUAACAAUAUUCCUAAAAUAAAAAAACUUCAAAGGCAUAUCAAAAUAAUGAAUAAGAUAGGGGUAUUUUCAUCAUUUUAAUAGUUUUUUUUUUUUAUGUUUUUUUAAGAGAAUGGAAAAGGUAAAUAGUAUUUUGGUGUCUCCAAGCUUCAACAAAAAUAUUUAGACAAAAACGCCCCCAAGACAAAAAACUUCAAAAACAUCCCAAAAUAAUGCAUCAAAUAAGGAAGAGGUAUUUUCAUCAUUUUAACAGUAUUUUUUUAAUAAUUAAUUUUUUUUGUGUUUUUUUUAAUUAGUGCCUCACAAUAGGCUAUAAAAAAUGUGAUUCAAUUUCUCUAUUUUUAAACACAUUCAAAACAUCUUAACAUGCGUGUAAUGCCGAUUAUAAAAAAAUGUCUUUCAUGAAUAAUAAUAUAAUUAAAUUAGUUGUCAAAUAAUUUUUUUUUAACAAACGAUAUUAUCUACACUAAGGGGGAGUGGGUAGGCUUAGCCUCAUAAUGAGCUAGCAAUAAUGUGAUUCAAUAAGUUGUUUAUUAAAUAUUAGAGUUAAUCUCAAUUUACUAUCCUGAAAUUUCUUGAUUUUCAAUAUUUGGUAUAUGAAGUUUUUUUCAUUCUAGAGUCAUACCUCAAGUCUUAAUUUUGGGACAGUUUCGUACCUCCAUUAAGUUGACUGUUAAGUCAGCCGUUAAUUGAUGAUGUGGCGCAUAUGUGGACAAUGAGUGGGUGCCACGUGUUGAUAAGCUCAUAUUUAUAUAUAUUUUACAUAAAAUUCACUUGUCUUUUCUUAGUUAGUUCCUUAUAUUUUUGAGCUAUUUACUAUGUUUUUGUGUUUUGUGUGAUUUAUCAAGCAAAGAAAAGAAAAGUAGCACAAGUGAAUUAUUAAGUAACAAAUUCGUCAAAACUGCCUGUGCAGAUUUUCUGACUUUGGAAGCAUGUUACAAACAGCUCAGAAUGAAUGAGAGAAUGAGCCUUAUAUGCUUGGAAAGCUACGGAUGUCUAUUUUCUGGAGCAAUUUACGGAUUGUUAAUCUCAUUUUUCUAGAAGAAGUUAUGGGCAUUGUAACACUGAAAGGUCAGAAAAGGGCUAAGCAGAUUUGGCUAAUAAAAAGAGAAAGGCAACACAUGGGCAAAGGAAACACACUCACAUGGGCAUAAAAUGGGUGGAUUGUUGGCUGAAAUAAUGAAGAACAUGUGUCUACAAAUGCAAAGGAAAAACACACACACAUGGGCAAAGGAAACACACACACAUGGGUAGGAAUUGUGUGUGUUUUGUGGUUGAAAUGAUGAAGCAUGUGUGUGUAAAUGUAAAGGAAAAUAUGGCAGAAAAUGUGUGUGUUUGGUGGUUGAAAUGAUGAAGCAUGUGUGUGUAAAUGUAAAGGGGAAACGUGACAACACACACUCACACAAGCUGCACAUGCAAAGGAAAUGGAGUGGUUCUCUCUCAAGCCUAUAAAUACCACCUCCCAUAUUCAUCAACAAAACUGAUUUUGAUCCAUCUUAGCCGAAACUUCCCACCACCAUUCUCUCUAAUUUCAGCCAAAAACCACCCCUAGCCACACCACCCAUCAAUCCUAAACCUUUCCAUACCAUUCCCCAUCCAUUCUACACCAUAAAAACCACCCAAAACUGUCCAAAACCUCUAGUGCCGCUGCUUGCAAGGAAGGAAAGAGAAGGAACAUCUUGUGCCGUGCCUAUGCCCAAGCCUUGGGAGUGUUGGAGCGUUUCUAGGUAUUUUCUAUCUUUGUUUUUAAUGUCUAAAUUUAUGCAUCUUUGCUUUGUAAGUAUGAGGAACUAACCCUCUUAGUUAGGGGGUGAUUCGAAACUAUGUUCAUGCUUGCAAUAUGAUUUGAUUACAUCCAGUUGUGAUUCAUAAGUUGUGAAUUCAAUUUACUUAUCCGUUCGUAUAAAAACUGAUUUGUGUAUGUUUGGUUGAGAGUGCACGCUUAAUUUUCAUGCAUGAAUUUGACGCUAGAAUAUAGGGAGUUUCACCUAAUCGUUAUGAACUUAUAUUCACAAGUAGUGAAGGUUGCUAGUCACAAUCACGUUAAGUAAAUUCUUGGCAUAAGUUUCAUGCAAAUCAUAGUAACGAGUGCCUUGUCAAUGCUUAUGUUUUUCAUAGAACUUAAUGAUUCUUGCUUGUAUCUCUAUUAUGCAAUUCAUGUAGGGAACUUGUAGGGAAUGUUUUGGGUUGUCGUAUGCAAUCAUCCAACCUAAUAACUUGUGGAAAAACUGAGGGUUAAUUAGUGCAAUUCACGGUUAAUUUGGGGCGUUAAGUAUUCAUAGUUUAUCGAAAAGCAACUGGAAAUCGUUUUGUAUGCAAGUGUACAUGUGUGGAGAAGAACCUCCUAGCUAGCCUUCCAUCCAUAAGUUUCAUUCAAAUUCAUUUACAAUCUGUUUUGAUUCACCCAAAUUUGUCUAAGAAUCUGUUUACUUUGUUCUUGUCUUAAUUUAAUUAUUUUCGUCCAAAAUCAACCCCAUCUUAUUUCUUUGAGUCAUAUUAAUUAGAACUUGUCUUAGAUUAUGUUUUUAAGUGUUUUAGUCCAUUAGAAAACCAAAAUUCGUCCAAUUUUGUGUUAGGUGUUCAAAACUGUCCAGAAAAUGUUUUUAAGGCAGUUUUGAGUGUUUAUUUGCUGUUUUGAAUCUUUUUGUUUAUCUUAGUAUUUUAAAGUAUAAUUUUGCAUUUUUUGAGUCUAGUUUAGUGUUUUAAACUUUGUUUUUACGUUUUCAAGUCAGUUUCCAAGUGAUUUAGCAAUCCCUCCUAAUCCCCGGCCUAGAACGAUCCCUACUUACAUACUUUACUAAUUUGAUAAAAAGAGGGUUUAAUUUGUGUGCAUAUAUAUUUCGCAUCACGUGUCAAUAUGGGUCCACGUAAAUAAUAAAAAUUUAAAAAAUUAAAAACUUAAAACAAAUUAAAAAUUAAAAAUUAAAAAAGUAAAAAGUAAACCUAAAUCUGAAACCCAUCCCUCUCUAGGGAGGCAGAUUGUUUGCCCUCCUGUUUGGGUGCCCUUCUCAUCCCAUCCUAUUUUGUGCGGUCACGGUUAAACCACGUUAAUAUUUUAUAUUAAUGUUUUUAUAUAUAUAAUAAGAUAAAAAACAAUAAGAAUAUAAAAUAUUGACGUGGCUUAACCGUGACCGCACAAAUAGGAGGGGAUAGGAAGGACACCCAAACAGGAGGGCAGACAAUUUGCCUCCCUCCCCUAGUCCCUCCAUACCCAUCCCUCCCCUAAUCCUUCCAUCACCAUCUCUGCAAAACCCUAACCACAUAGAGAUCGAAGAAGAAGAAGAAGGAAGACCAACAAUGACGAGCCUCUCCGUCUUGGUCACCAUCCUCACACUUCUCCCCUUUGUCUGCCUCUCGUUCUUUCUGGAAUCCCUAACCCAUCGCCGCCUCUUGGUGCUCCUCGACUACCACUCUCUACACUCUCUUCAGUCCUCUCACUCCAGCUUCUUCCAUUCCAUGAUCUCCCGCAGCUUCGAUCUCGACUUCAACCUCGCCGAAGACCCCAAUCUCUCGCUCAAGCGAUAUGGCCAAAAUCCUAACACAUGAUUGGUGGGUCCUACCUAAAUUAGAGAGAUGAUACAAAUGUAGCAUGCAAAAUGUGGUAAGUGUAGCAUUACUCUAUUAAGUUUUGAAAAUCAUUAAUUUGUUAUCUCAUCCUAACUCCGUUAAGUUUUUUAUCUCCUUGAAUAUUAUUUUGGACAUUUUAAUGUUAUUUUGGACAUUUCAACCAUUUUUUUAAUGGAUAUGAUUGACCACAUCAAAUUCUCAAAACUUGUAAUUAGUUAAAUUCUAUCUUAGUGAGCCUAAUGUACCUUUUUAGUGGUUCACCAUAAACUUUUCAAACAAGCGUGGCAUAUGUUUUUUACUAGCUAAGUCACUCCUAAUAUUGGAACCUAAGACCUCUUGUAAGAGAAAUAUCUCUGAACAAUAUUACUAAGUAACAAAAGACUUUUCCUUUAAUAUACCUUUAGUUUUACGAGUUAACCAACCCAAUCUAAGUCUAGGCACUAAGCGAGCCAUAUUCAAAGAGGGGUGGCCGAGGACUUGGAAUAAAGCAAUCAUCAACUCGGAAUUUUUCUUGAGAAGUAGUGGAAGUGGAUGCAUAAUAAAAUUAGUCACUUGUUCUCCAUUAUUAUGAAUGCAUGUUCAUGUUUUUCUCGGCUAAGUGUGGUUUGGUAUGCAACACUGGCGGCAGGGGCAAGUGGAAAAACAUAGCGAAGUGGAAGAAAGCGGAGACGAUGGGUCGCAUUCACUCACACCCCACUAGGCCACUACCUUAGUGCUCUUGGGUGCCUUUCCCAUCCUAAUACCCAUGAGAUAUAUAAUACUUGAUUUGGGACGCUACUAUGUGCAGUAUUUCAAAUUAAUAACGCUCUUUCAUGUAAGUUGUUACUCAAAUAAAAACAUAUGCAAAAGUUUAAGUUCUUGUCAUUCAUUGUUCAGAAAAUGGGAAUUGUGUAAAGGACACUAUUGAAUUAGUAAUUACUAAACAAAAGAAAUUCCUUUUUGAGGAAAUUUUGAAAGAAAAACCGAUGAUUAAAACCUUACUUAAGUCACAUUGUGGAAAUUGAAGUUUUGAGAUUUCAUUUUGGGUUGACUGGUUGAUGUGUUGACUUUGAAGACUUUGCCCUACUUAUUGAGAAAUUGUAAUUUCUCAAAAAUUUAAAAGUUCAAUCCUCGGUCGUCAUUUAGUAUUGCGGUCUAGUGGUAUUCCUCUUCACUGGUAAGUGAGAGGUCUUAUGUUCGAUUUUCGCCAAAGGCAAAUUUGCAAUUGGAGAAAUGAGCUCAUCCCCCAAAGGGGAUGCAAGUAUUAUCCUUAUAUAUAGAGGGGGAUUAAUCUAUAAUUAAUAUAACUUAUUGUUAGAGAUGAUGCUGGAUGAAUUGGUUGCACACAAUAGAGGCUUACUAAACAAGUUUAUGAGUGGGGAAUUGAUAAACAGUUUUUGAGUUUAAAACCUUGAACUCAAAUAGAGUACCAAACGGUCUCUAAAACUCCCAAAUUAACUACAACCCUAGCCAGCUAUCUGGCUAGCGGACUCAGCUUUCGAGAGCCCCUUAGAUGCUCCUGCAUCAACGGAUAACGCUGCUACAAAUUCAAACAUUUCAAGACUAACCCAAUUGCAAAUCUGCAUAAUUUCAACAAUUUCAUGCCAAAUUGCAGGGUGUUUAUAUUCGCAAAUCGCGAAACUUACGCCAAAUAUAUCAGCUACAAAUAUUUGUAAAUUCUUUAACAACUAUGCACGAAAAUAAUAGAAGCGGUUUACUUUUGUAACACCAAUUCAUCAGAGUAAGAACUAACAGAGAAUGUAAUUUCAAGAAAAUGCGAAAGUUCAUCAUCACUGAAAAGCAGUUCCUUGCCCCAAAAGCAGAAAAACAGAAAAACCCACAAAAUUCCAAAAUUUUCCAAUUUUAAUUUCUAGUUACUCUUUCAAUUUUAAUCCAAAAAAUUUAUGUUUUAACUCAUAAAUAGUUUUUUUCUUUCCACUCUUAUGGAUAAAACUUUUAGUUUGAGAUUAUUAAAGAAUGAAUUUAGGAUAAUUUUUUCUUAAAUAACAUUUAAAAAAAAUUAUAUAGACUAUCCUAAUUUAAUUUUAUGAAUUCCGAUAAAUAUUGAAAAAUCACUAAACCGACAUCCUGAAACUUGUGAAAAAUUAUGAAAGAAUAUAAAACACAUAAAAGAUUUUUUUUAAUUACUUUAGCAGUUGGAUUUAAAUUUGGACUUUUAGAUUUUUUUUUUAUUUUUGGAUAAAUUACAUAGUAGCCCUUAGGUUUGAGCUCUAUUACAACCUCAUACAACAUCUUUAAAACAUUUCACUUUCAUACCUCACGUUCUAUUUUAUUUCAAAAUAAUACAUCCCUUACAUUUUUCAUCCAUUGAUUUGUUAAGUGUUGACGUGGCUACCACAUUUGUGCCAUGUGUCUGCCAAAUGUGUGACACGUGGCAAAUUUCCUUAAUCUUCUAAAUUAAAAAAAAAAAAACCAGAAAACUUGAAACCCAUUAUCCCCUGAACCCUGCGAAUCCCCCCAACCCCUGAACCUUGGAAGAAGAAGUAAAAAAAAAAACCAAAAAACUUGAUUAUCCCCCUGUGAAACCCAUAUCCCAUUAUCCCCCCAACCCAUUAUUCCCCAAAUCCCAUUAUCCACCCCAAACACCACCCCCCUCCCCCGCCCGCGCGAACCCAAAUCCCAUAAGCCCCUCAUACCUGCAACCCAUAACCCAGAUCCCAUAAGCCCUCAUCCCACCCUCAUCCCUCCUCUACACACCUCACUCUUUAAAUCUACACCCAUUCCUCCCAUUUUCACCUCACGAGGCGGUCGGGAUCUGAAUUUUUUAUUUUUUUUCUAGGGUUGCAGAUAGGGGUCAGGGGAAGAAGAUGAAGGUAGGGGAGAAGAGAGGGGAUGAGGACGGGGAAAGACGAACUGAAAGGGGUUUUUUUUUUUUUUUUUUUUUUUCUGGGUUGCGGAAGAAGAUGAAGAUCUGGGAAGGGGGGAUUGCGGGGAAAUGGGAUGCGUUGCAGGUACGAGGGUCUUAUGGGAUGGGGGUGGAUAAUGAGAUCUGGGGAAUAAUGGGUUGGGGGUGGAUAAUGAGAUCUGGGGAAUAAUGGGUUGGGGGGAUAAUGGGAUAUGAGUUUUGCAGGGAGGGGGGAGGGGAUAAUCAAGUAUUUUGGUUUUUUUUUUUAAUUUAGAAGAUUAAGGUUUUUUUUUUUAAAUUAAAAAUAAAUAAAUAAAUUUGCCACGUGGCACACAUUUGGCAGCCACAUGGCACAAAUGUGGCAGCCACUUCAGCACUUAACGAAUCAAUGGAUGAAAUUGUAACGGAUGUAUUAUUUUGAAAUAAAAUAGAACGUGAGAUAUGAAAGUGAAAUGUUUUAAAGAUGUUGUAUGAGGUUGUAAUAGAGUUCAAAUCUGAGGGGCUACUAUGUAAUUUAACCUUUUUUUUUUUUACCGUUGGAUUUGAUUAAGAAGUACCAAAGAGUGACGGCUUUCGCUACCUAAGAUCUAUCUUGCAAAAGAGUAGAGAGUUGGAUGGAAACCUCAACUAUAGAAUACAAGCUAGACGGAUGAAGUGGAAGAGUGCAUUCGGCGUGUUGUGUGAUCAUCGUAUGCCAUUGAAGCUCAAUGAAAAAUUUUAUUGUACAACAAUAAGGCCGACAAUGCUUUAUGGAACAGAAUGUUGGGCGGUGAAGCAUCAACACGUACAUAAAUAGGUGUAGCAGAGAUGAGGAUGCUUCGUUGGAUGUGUGGGCACACGAGAAAAGAUAAGAUUUGGAAUGAGGAUAUCCGAGGUACGGUAGGAAUACCCGAAAUUGAAGGAAAGAUGAGAGAAAAUCAAUUACGGUAGUUUAGACAUGUGAAACGAAAACCUACUGACGCUCCGAUUAAAAGAUGCGAUUACAAGACAAAGGUUCAGGGCCAAAGGGGUAGAGGAAGACUUUGGAUGAGACUCUAAGAAAAUACUUAGAGUACUUAGAUCUAAAGGAAGACGUGACAUAGAACCGAACGCAAUGUCAUUCUAGGAUUCAUAUAUUUGACCUCACUUAGUAAGAAAAUGUUUGUUGUUGUUGUACCGUUGGUUUUGAUCAUAUUAUAUCUUAGCCGUUGAAUUCAAUGAAUUUAUAAAUAUAAAAUUAAAAAAAGUACACAUAUAGGGUGGGGUCAGCCCCACUAACCCGAAGAAAUCCUAGGCUAAAUUUGCCCUAUAAAUGAGGUUUGGGUAAAAACUAAUAUUUGCCCCAAGGGUUGGAGCAAGUUGGAGUAAGUUUAAAACCUAACAUUUGAGUUUUACUCCAAAUGUUAGGGAUGAUCUAAGCGUAGUUAGUGAAAGGUAUGGUAUGUGAAAAAUACGCACGGUGUACAAUUUUACUAAAAUAAUACUUUGAAAAUUUGGUUAAAAUUUUAAUAUUUAUUAAUCAAUAAUAAGUUUAAACUAUGGGUAAAAUGUGUGAAUUGAAAAACGUGUGAAAAUAACGUGUUUUAAAUCUUUCUCUUCACUUGGAAGUGAGAAGUUUUAGUGCAAAAAUAUCUAUGUAUUAAAAAAAACGUGUUUUAAACCUGAAAAAUAUGUAUAGUACGUUGGAGUUUUAAAAAGCGUACAAUUUAACAAAUCAUUUAUACGUGUAUGGAAAACAAAACUUGUUAAAAUACGUAUGUACAUAUAUAAUAAGGAUAUUAUACGCAAAUUUACUAACUAUGAAGUUAAGUGACAAUGCUAAAUAUUUUGAGUAUUGUUAUUGACAUUUUAGAAAAAAUCAUUAUGUUCUUUUCUAAUAAAACAUAUUGUAAGAAAUGUUAGCAAUAUUCAUAUUAAAUUUAAUGUUUUGUUUUACACAAGCGAUUUUAUGGAGUGGGAAAUCAAUCCCAGGCCUUCAACUACAACGGAAAAAUGCUCCUAACUUGAGCGUCCCUUUCACUCCAAACCACCCUUUGCACUAAACCUUAAUGUUAAGCUCUUACCAUCAUGCAACUUUCUGCUUCUCGUUUACAAGUGAAUCUGUUUUAUGUUUUCACUUAUGAAUAUGGCAAAAUAACAUUUUUAGAACACCGAUAACAACAAACACUGGGAUUAAAUAAAAAUGUAACUAGCAAUGUUGUUACAAUCCACCUUCUCUUUCACACUCCUAACACCAUUUGCAAAUUCUAUAAAAAAUGAUAGCAGUUUGGGACUACUUUUUGUAGAGUUAGCCAUUCAACAAAGAACAUAAAAAUAAAUAAAUAAAUAAAAAAAUAAAAAUUGAUCCAACAAAAACCACUAAUCAUUAAAAUUCUAAAAAAUACCACACAAAUUAAAAUUCGAAAACUUCAAGUCAUAUAAGCAAAACACACCACAAACAUCAACGAGACAAAAUCCAAGGCAGUAGCAAGAGAAAGAAAGCAAAAACAGAGAGAAAACUUUGGUGAGUAGAGAGUGGAAAAUAUUAUUGAUGAGUGAUCAUGUCUUUUCUCCUUUGAGCAGCAUGCUUUGUCCUUCUCAAGUUUUCUUAAACUCUGAGGUAAGAGUCCUUGAUUGCGCUCAUUUUUCUGACAACCGCGUCCAUCAGCAUCCAUUCCCUUUGUGACAUUGCACAUCAAGAGAGUCUUAUCUGCAUCAAUGGGACCAAACAUUCCUUUAAUUUAUUUGCUUUCAUCGAGCCACCAUUGUUACGUCUGGAUGGAGUUCAUUCUCGCACUAUGUCAUUGUUGACGCCACCAUCUGUUUCGAGGUUGAGAAUAAUUGAAUGGUCAAUAACAUCCAUGACAUGGUCUGGCAAAGCCAAGGCUACAAAUUGGUAAAUGGUUAAACCGCCCUUGAACAUGUCAUUAAUAGGUCUUUUUCCUGUGAACAUUUCACACAAUAGUAUCCCAUAGCUGUAAACAUCUCCAAGUAUGGAAACUUGGCCUCCUAUGUCGUACUCUGUCAGGACAUACAUACAAUAUGUCGUAUGCAAUUUACUAUUAGAACAAUAUCUUUUUUAGAUUUAUAUGAUACUUAUUUUCCAAGAAAAAAAGAGGAAGUAAUGUAUUUUUCAUAAAUAGAAAUUAAUUAGUUGGUUUUUUGUAAUAAUUUACUAAGAACAUAAAAAGGAAGUUAGAAUGAUAGAAACUCAUACCUGGAGGAAUGUAGCCUAUAGAACCCUUUAGCUGAGAUGACAGUGUUUGACUGAAGGAUGAAUCAUUUGAUGUUUCAAAGAGGAACCUUGCUAAACCAAAAUCCCAACAUGGGCUACCAUAUCUUCAUCAAGAAGUACGUUGCUCGGCUUUAGAUCACAAUGAACAAUGGCCGUUUCACAAGUGGUGGAGAUAAUCUAAUGCAGAAGCAACAUCAAUGGCAAUGUUCAAUCUUUGCAUAAAACUCAUUCUUUUGCUUGGAGAUUCCUCCUUGUAUCUUGGAUACAACGUUGAGUCUAAACUUCCCUUUGCCAUGAACUCGAAAACUAGACUUUUGAAGUCCCUGCCCUGAUUAUCAAUGCUCGAGCACGCAGUUAUGAUCUUGAGAAGAUUCUGGUGCCUUAUACUCCUUAAAGCUUUGCAUUCAUUUAUGAAACUUUUGGAAGCUCCUUGUUGUUGAAGGUUUAGUACCUUAACCGCAACUACUGUUCCAUCAUUAGGAAUUAUCCCUUUAUAAACAUAACCAAAACUUCUGAAACCAAUAAGAUUAUCCACAGAGAACUUGUUAGUUGAUUCAGCGAGUUGUAAGGAGGAGACACUUGAUUUCCAAUCCUGAUAAGAAUGUGAAGUUACAAGUCUAUCUCUUGACUUUUCUAGCAUUGAACAAGCACCACAGAAGCAUGAUAGAGCAAUUAUGAUUCCAAGUACACAUGCUAUGGGGAUGACUACUUUUGGGGAGUGUAGUCCUCGAGAUGAAUGGUGUUUUUUUGGGGGGCAUGGAGGUAGAUGUAAUUGUGGGAUGCCACUACAAAGCCUAUGAUUUCCAAGAACAGAAACACCACUAGCAUUUGCAAAAAUACCAUCUUUAGGCAACUUGGCCUCAAAAUCAUUAUACGAAAGAUUGAGAUACUUGAGAGCACCAAGCUUGCCUAUGAAUUCAGGAAUUGGCCCAGACAAGUCGUUGCUUGAAAUAUCAAGUUUUUCCAAGCCUUUCAAAUUCUUAAGAGAUUGAGGAAUUGUUCCUUCAAACUUAUUACUUUGCAAAUACAAGCACUCCAAACUAGUACAACAGUCGAGGGUGCGUGGGAUUUCACCUAAUAAAUUGUUUCUUAAUACAUUUAGCUCCGUGAGAUGCACUAAAUUACCCACCUCAAAGGGCAUCAGACUAGUCAAAUAAUUGUCAGACAGGUCUAGAGAAAUUGAAAGGGUUGAAAGCUCCAUAAGCAUUUUAGGUAUGGUUCCCGUAAGGUUGUUACUGGAAAGGUAAAGAUCUAAUAGGUAGUGACAAUUUCCAAGACUUGGAGGUAUACUACCCUCAAACCUGUUUGAGUCUAUGUUCAUGUAUAACAAUGAAGUCAUAUUACCAAGGGAUGAUGGGAUUGACCCAGAAAAUUGGUUAACAUCCAAAUACAGUUCCUUUAACUUUUCUAGCUUCCCAAUUUCAUGCGAGACAUUGCCACUCAAAUGGUUAUCUUCUAAUUCUAAAGCAGUCAAGUUUAUAAGGUUUCCAAUUCCCCUAUGAAGGUUUCCAUGUAUAAAAUUUCCCCCCAAACUAAGAACAUUAGGUUGGGUCGAAAGGUUGGCUAUGGAUUGUUGGAUAUAUGUCAACAAUCUGUGAUAAAUUGAUAUAUGCUAAUAAAUAAACAGUGUAAUAUUGAAGAUCGAGGCUUGCGUACCGUAAUGUCCUUGAAACAGAAAUUCCGCCCCCACUCAGUACUUGUAGUUCUCCGGACGUCUGUUUCACCAGGAUUCAACGAUUAAGCUAGAAUUCCAGCACCGGAAAACUUAACUUCUGGCGAAUUUCUUUGUGGUACUUUCAAUAAGAAUGAUAUGGAUUAUAGAAGGAGAUUUAUGUUUUCUGUGUUCUAAAUAUCAUGCAGAUGGAUGUAUAUAUAGAGUGAUUAUUCCUGUUCGCAGCAUGUAUGAGAAUGAGAUGUGACUGUUGGGAGACAUCUCAUCAUAUGUGUGUUUUCUUUUUGCGUACUUUCACACUUCAGACUUCAUCUGAAAAGAUGAGUGGAUGAGUCUGUUGAUAAGAUAAUAAUAAUAAAAAUAAUUAAAUUCGAAAUUAAUUAAAAAUAAUUAAUUAAAUCCAAAAAUAAUUAAUUAGAGUAUUUAAUUAUUAGAGUCCAUCUUUUGAUAAUUAAUUAUAUUAUAUUAUAUUAAUUAGCACAUCUCAAAGCCCAACCUCAAGGGUGAGCCCAAUUUUAUUUUCCAAGGUCUAUCACUCCAAUCACUUUCUACAAGGGACAAAACCUUAUAAAGUGAGGAAACAUUGUGGUGGUGAGCAAUGUGGGACAAUGAAAUUCUACUCAAAAUUUCCAACAUGGAUCCCGGAAUUUCUACUCCAAAAUUAUUAUAGAUUAGACUCAAAAACUCCGAACUAGUGCAAUUAGCCAAGAAACUAAGAAAAUUCAAGUCACCAACUUUUCUAUUUCCUAACCGAUUGUCAUGUAUGUUUAGCCAAAUUAAGCUUCUCAAGUUUCCUAGACUCUCACCAAGGAAUGUCCCAGAGAAGCCAUUUUCAGAAAGUUCAAGCACCUGAAGUCUAGAAGCAUUUGACAAUGAUAUAGGAAUAUUUCCUCUGAAUUUGUUCGUACAACAGUGAAGUUUUAUGAGAUUAGGAAGCAUAGUGUCGAGAUUUGGUGGUAGCUCUCCAUGCAACUGGUUAACGCCAACAAAAAAAGUGGAUAUGGAAGAAAUAUUAUAGAUUGGGGAUGAGAUUAUACCAGAUAGAUCAUUAAUAUGAACUAAGAACUUCUCCAAGCCUGUUAUAUGCCCAAGCUCAUUGGGUAUGCUUCCUUGAAAAUUGUUGUCACCAAGAUAAAGAAUACUCAACAAAGAAAAGUUUCCUAUCCAUGGUGGGAUGGUUUCAGUGAGAUUGUUACCAUCAAGCCAUAAAUAUUUUAAAUUCAACAAUGAACUGAGUUGUUUCAGAAUGGACCCCAUAAUCCGAUUGAUUUGUAGAUCAAGCACUCUUAGUUGCGUGCAUUGUGACAAAUUAGUUGGAAUUUUCCCACGGAAGGAAUUAUGAGAAAGGUUGAGAUAUUGUAAGCUUUGUAGACGAUCCAUUUCUGGAGGAAUUUCUUGUUGUCACUCAAAUUGAUACCAGUAAGAUAAGUAAGAUUUCCAAUGAAAGAUGGAAUGGAGCCUACCAACUUUUUUGCUGUGUUUUUUUUUUCAAAGCACAACAAUACCAAACCAGCCUUAAAUCUCACUUCCAUAAUUCCAUUGGUUUCUACUUUUGCCCAAGGCAUGAACGGCUGCUUAAUUUGUAGUGCUCGGUUAAAAAAAAAAUGGAGAAAAUCUUGAAAGAGAAACUUAAUAUAUGCUAAAGUUGAAAUACCCUCCCAAUUUUCUACCGAUGUUAAUUUGCGCAAAUUCCUAUUAUGCCCUGAUAUACCCAUCAUGUAUGUACUGUAUUUAUUUUACAUUUUCUUUUUCUUCGUUCUCCCUUCUCACUCUUCUCCUCGACUAAUCUGGCGACGACGACCAACCAACAAAACAAGCCCUCGAUUGGUGUUUUUGGUUCCUCUCUAAAAGCCCCCCUCUCUCUUUCGAAAAUUCCUCGCCGCUGCUCUCUCCUUGAUGGUUCAAUUUGGGUUUGCUUAAAUCCUAUGACGAGUAAGUAUCUCCGAUCUGUGAUUCUUAGUGUUCUGAAAAGGUUUAUCGGCUCGGAAUAAUUUGAAAUUUUUGGGAGUUAAUGGUUUGAGAAACAGCUCUCAAUUUCCGGUUUUUGUUUUUGCUGAUUUUUGAAGUGGUUGUGAGAACCAGUUCUUUUGAACCAAUUUAAUCGGUUUUAGUGAUUGCAUGUGGAGGGUUUUUGAAUUUGUAGAGUCGAUCUGAAAAUAUGGUGGGAUUUUAGGGGAUUGAAAGUGUUUACAGACUGUAUGUGCUGAGUUUGAAUUUGAAUUUUACAGACUGUUUGUUUUCUCAAAUUUGGUUUUGGAUGAGAAAACGAUGAUAAACAAAGGGGAAGUCCCAGACUUGCAGUAGGCCUCAAAAGUGUAAGUCAUCUUUUCUUCUAUUUUGCUGAUUUUGUCUCAUGGUUUCUUGCAAAGCUAGCAUCUUGUAAUAUAUAAAUAAUAUAAUGUAUUAUAAUAUAUAAAAGUAUAAUGUAUAUAAGUAUAUUAAUGGGUUAUAGUAUAAUGCAUGUUUAUAUUGGUAAAAGUAAUAUUGGAAUGAUAUUUCAUGUCUCCUCAUUUUCUAUGUCAGAAAAGACUUUCCUUAAAUAUCAUUAUCAUAUAUAUAUGGAGUAAGGGGCGGAGCCAAUUACAUGAUGCCUUACAUGAUUAUAGUUCCUCUUUUUGUUCAGCUCUAAACCCCUCUCCCCUGGUAAUUAUUGAAUUCCUUACUAAUGUUGUUUUGGCUUUUAGUUAAAUUUGGUCAGGAAAAGUUCUAUACUUACUAACUUUUGGAAUGAUAAUUAUCAAUCUACUACAGGGAUACUGCACAAUUAAAAUGAAUCAGGGAUUAUGUACUAAUAUUUAAGCUAUAUAAUGUUUAUGGAUGUGUACCUCACCUCAUUGUGUAAAAUAAAACAUCGUUGUAUAACAAAAUGGAUCUUAUACUCAUGUAAAAUUUGGAUCUACUUCAAAUUUAUCACUAAAUAUAAUUGGGUUUUAGUAAGUUUUUCAUCAUUUUGUAGAUUUUUUCCUUUAACUUUCUGGGUUUUGGAGAAAUUUUUUCCUUUAUCUGAACUUAGUAGUUUUUUAGUAUGCUUUGUACAAUUAAAUUUCUGAUUUUGGUAGUGAUACGCCAAUUUCAAGUUUGAAAAGAAAAAUGUAUAUUGCACAUGUGAUUUGUUGUUUAUGUGGUAAAAAAAUAGGAUGACUUUAUACUCACAAAGAAGGGUGGAGGAAUUUAGAGAUUAGGGUAAUGAACUGCUUUGGAGCUUAAGGUUGUUGGUUGAGAAAUUAAUAAGCUUUUCUAAGACCCGGUUUUAGGUUUUGAAUUCUGCCCGAACGAAACUGAAGUCUAUUUCAUCUGCUUGAUACAGGUUUUAGGGGUUUGUGGACAAAGUUUUCGGACGGUGUUUUCCCCAUGAUGAGCCUCACUGGACAAUACAUUCUGUAAAUAGUAACUUUUGAACACUGUGCUCUAUUGGGUUGAUGAGAAAGUGAUUGAAACAGAUUCUGUAAAUCAAUGUUGGUGGAGGUGUUGUUCCGCAGCCUCAAGAAGAACAGAGCAAUGUGUUUGAAAUAAGGUCUGACUGAAACUUUUCUAUUAAAUUUUGCAUUUUUUGAGUUUUAAGCCAUUCAAAAUGGUUUGUUAAGUAGGAAUAAAAAUACCUGUUAAACAAAGAUUACUAAUUACUAACCAAAUUCACAUUUGUCUACAUUAAUCUAUUAAGUAGGUAACUUAUCAAUUUUUUGGGGCGAUCUUGUGUAUAGAGUGAUGUGUUGUAACCAGCGAUGCAAGGGCGAGAUCUGAUCGGUUGCACUCGAACAAGGUUUGUUUCUCGAAUCACAUUCAUUAGUAAUAUUAUUAAUGUGCUUUGGUAGGGGUUUUCAAUAUGAUUUUCUAAUUUCCCCUUUGCAACAUUUUUUUGUUUUGUUUUAGGAAUAUGUAUGUGAUUUAUGUUUGAUUAGCAUAAAAAUUAAUAAAACAUAAGAAAUGCAGCAAUUGGAAACAUGGUUGCUAAGUGAUAAGACAUAGUAAUUGUUUUAAAUAACUAUACUACUUUUGUAUUGUAUGCAAGCGUAAGAAAAUUCCAAAUUGUAAUACAGGAUCUUAGGGCUGAGUGUUUUGUGUUUAAUAAGUCAGUGCAUUGGUAGAAUACGAGCCGUUGUGUCUGGUUUGGAUGUGUGUCUAAGGUGGUACCCCAUUUCAAGGCAAAUGAGAACACUUGACUAUGGUAACCUAAUGGCUUUCUUUGUUAUUUUUUCUUAAACCUAAUGGCUUUCUUUGUUAUUUUUUCUUAAUGGGUUAUCCAUUCCUUGCGUUUUUACUGAGUUAUUGGCUCUGGAUAUUUUGUGGUUCACAAUGAUUCUGUUUUUGUUGUUGGGUUGCUAAAAGCAAGCAAAACCUAUAAAAUUGGCCUUUCGGUAGUUUUUUUCUCUACAUGAAUAUUAUGCUAGAAAUUAUCUGUUUGUGUUUUGUUUUUGUCUUAAUAUACUGGAUAAACUUUGUUAUGACAAUCUUAACCAACAGGUGGAUGACGCAUGUAUUAGUUAUGUUUGUAGAACUCAAUGCAUACCUUUUAUCUUAAACUUAUAUCAAGUAAUCAUAUUUGGUAAUCUCCAUUUGAUUUGGGGACUUCACUUUCUCAGAAAGAAUCAUAUGUUAUUUAAUUAAUUACAAAAAAGAUUCAUAAGAUUCUUAUAAAGUUGAAGCUUAGUGUAUGUGAAAGAGAGAGGGAGAUCCCGUCUUGAAUGGCAUCAUGAAAAUCGUUCAAACAAUAUCAAGAAAGAGCACUGAACUUGUCUUCCGAAGUUAACCUUCGGCCGCUACAGUAACGUCUAUGGGUGCCUACUCCGUCGCUAAUCGCUUUAGUCACCGUGCAGUUAUGAAUUAAGGGGAUUAACUGUUGCCUCUUUGUCACGAUUAAUUGCAGUUAUACAGGAAGAAGAAAAAAAAAAAAAAGGUUGAUAAAUUCUGAAGGAGAAUAAAAGGCUUUGAGGGAAAAAGCUAGAAAUGGAGGUGUGUGUGGUUUUGUGUACCAUCAACCGGAGAGGGAAAGCAAAAGAAUACGUAGAGACAGAGAGAUGGGGUUUAAAUAUGAGGGCAUAGUAAGGAGAGGAAGCAAAAGCAAGAGUGGUAAUCAAUCAUUAGUGGAGUGAAAAAUGUCAUUGGUGCGGUCAAAAGCACUCACAUUUUCUUUUAAUUUUAGGGCCAGAAAAUAGUAACGUUAUUCGCUCCCUCUAAUAUCAUUGGAGUGAAUAAAUUGGUCAUGAACUAGGCACUUCUAAAAUUCGAACCUAAGACAUUUUGUAAUGAAAAGAUUACUGAACAGUAUUAGUAAGUGACAAACAUCUUUUCCUUAACUGCCGUGUCUUUUACUUCAGGAAUAAAGGAAGAGUUAGAACCAACAUAUGUCCACAAUAUAUGGGAUCUAGAGUGAUAAUUAGUGGAGACGAAGGUGACAUUGUUUGGUACUAAGGGAUGUGAUAUCUACACACUCUAUUUUAUUUCUCACACACCAUUUUAAUUUUCGGCCGUUGGAUCAGAUGAAUUGAAGAAGAUCAAUGGACAAAAAUUUUCAAGGAUGUGAGAGAAGUAAAAUGAGGUGUGUGAAUAGCACAUUCCGGUACUAAAACAUCAAAUGCUCUCACUUUUUCUCCGAUACUGUUUCUAGUGAGAGAGAGAGAGAGAAACCAAGAGCGGUAAUCAAUGGUAAUUAGUGGAGAGAAAAAAAAUGUCAUUGUAGGGGUCAAAUGCACUCACAUUUUCUCUUAAUGUACCUGUGGAUAGUAAUAAUACUUAUACACCCUAAUGCGGGUUUGAUCUUCCUCUCCCUCUAAUAUUGAACAAUUUAAUCCAUUAAAGUUAUCGUUUAUCUCAAUUUUUUUUAUAUACAACAAUAUAUCUACAAAACACUAAGGAGGGGAGAAUAAUUGGUUGCAAACUUGUCACUUGUGAGAUUCAAAUUUAAAACAUUGUAAAAGAAAUAUCAUUAAACAGUAUUACUAAGUGGCAAACAUCUUUUUUCCUUUGCCCUUUUUAUCCUUUUAAAAUACAAAUCUUUUCAAUGUACUUUAAAUUUUAUAAUAAGUAUAUAAUUCAAUAAAUUCUAGACACCAAACCGGCAAUAUAUAAGUAAUAUGUAGAAAAAUGGCAGAGUUAUCCAUGCUUGGCAUCUUGGGUGUAAAGAGCCAACAUCAUAUCAAUUGUUCUGAGGUAUUUGCUGAGGAAAUGGGUUGAACAUUUUGAGUGAUUUGGUUGAAGAGGUAUUCUUGGAGAGGAGGAAGAGUUAAGCAUUCUUGCAGGUCUACCUUGACAUGGAAGAUGAAGGUCGACAUGUGUAGGGAUUUAAGCAAGUAGUGGUGCUGUUCCUUUACGGUUAUCGGCAACAAUAGUGUAAUUGGAACUGAAAAAUUAUUGUAUAACACAUACUGAAUUAUUCAAAACCAAACCUUCUCUCUCUCCGACUCUCCUUCCUAAAAACAAACCCUAAUUUUUCUGUAAUCUCAGCCGCCGGCUGCUUGCUUUGGGUUAGGGUUGGUGACAACCACUCUUCACCUUCCUCCUAGCCUCUCUCUCCCCUCCUAACCCUUUGCCAACCCCUCCACCUCAGUUUUUCACCUUUCACUCCCUCCCCUUUCCCUGCGCUGCCCCCUCCCUCGUGUCUCUCCCUUUCCUUGCAUCUCUGUCUACCAUCUCCCUCCCCCGUAGUUUUUUCCCAUUAUUUUGUGCCUUUACCUAGAUUUGCAGUUGCCUGUUUCAAGGUUCUUUCCUUGAUUUGGGGCUUGAUUGGCGGUCAGGGUAGGCUUUGUGGCUAUUGGUGGGUUGGUUCCACUUCCAUCAGCUUGUUUUUGUGGUUGUGACCCUCUCCACUCCAAUUUGGUGGUUGCAUCCUUGCCCGCUUAGAUCCUGCGGACCCGCCGCCUAGGGCGUUCAAUGACGGGGCGGCUAUCUUAUGCAACCAUAUUAGGUGACUCCGCCUUGUGUGGCCCGAUCUUCUCAGGGAUGUUGUUGAGCUCACUAGUGUGCUAAUGGUUUGGUCCUGGUUUGGGUCUUGGUCGUUGAGAUGAAUUGAUCGGUGGUCCUUUCAUUCUCGGAGUAGUAUGUAGUUGGUUUUGUUACCUCCCCCUGUAAAUUGUGGUCGCGUGUUUUGUGGUUGCUGGAUUUGUCUUUGCUUUAUACGAUUGAUAUGUAGUCUCGUCUUUCAACGAUGAUUUAUUGUGAUCUCGCUUGCGAUGACUUUAUGUGGCUUCACACUUGUGCGAUGACCUAUGUGUUUGCCAGUGUUAAUUUGUUGCGUCUAUCGUGCUUUUGUGACAAAUUUGAACUGGAGACAUCUUGUAGGGUAAGGCAAUGCUUGUGUUAGCCAUUUAGGGGUUUAUUGUUUGUUUACUUGCACAAAUUUACUCCAACCAAUUUCUUGAUCACUGAAGCUUAUGUACCCGAUUGGCAUCUUGUGUAAUUGUUUGUGAAAUUCAAUGAAAUACCAGUCUAUCGUUUCUUGUCCAAAAAAAAAAAAACAAAAACAAAAACAAAAACAAAAAACAAGUCACAUUGUAGAAAUUGGAAUUGUGAGUUUUGGGUUUACUAGUUGACUUAUGAACUCUGAAGUCUUGCCCUACUUAUCGAGAAUUUGUCAUGUCCACACUGGAAUUUGGGGACCAAUUUAAUUUAUAGAAAUGCUAAGGAGAUUUUUUCAAAUGUGACUCUGUAUGGUCUCUGUCAAAUUAAAUUUUCACUUUUUAAAUAUUAACGUAUGAAUUUUAAGCACAUCAAACUCAAUAAUUGAUCCCUUAAAAAUACAAAAUUUAUCAUACCACAUAUACAUUUAAAUAAAAUUUAGAAACUAAAAAUCAAAUGAAAAUUAGGAUACAUGGCCCACCUGCUGAAUUACUCUCAUCUCUAUGGUUUCAUAUUAAGAGUAUGAUUAUCUCUCAUCCUAUUCACAUCAUCUUCCCUCUCCUCCCCUCACACUAUGCUUUUUGUCUUGUUGUCUCUACAAAAAAAUCAAUAUAAAAUGUUGAUGUGACUUAAUUGUGCCAAUUCUUAUCCCCACUAAUAACUAACUGUUUAACCUACUAAUAAAAAUUAAAAUUUAAAGUAAGAAAGCAUGCACACUAUAAAUCCAAUUCCUUACAAGGAAGCAAGCACGCUACAAAUAAUGGGUAUUGUUACCUAUACACUCAUUUUUACUUCUCACACACUUCUCUCAGUUUUCGGCCUUCAGAUUUAAAGCACACUGCUCACCCUUCAUUGUUCCUCCAAUUCAUACAUAUACAAUAAGAAAUAGUCAGUACGAAUUUGAAAUAGAACAUACAAACGAAAGUACUAUGUUCAAUUUUAACAUACACAACAUCGUCAAGGCAAAGUUAAAAGCAAUAUAACAUGAAAAAGAAAAAGAGAAACAAAAACCACAAAACAGCAAUGCCUUCUCAUGUGAAGCAGCAGAGCGGCAAAGGUCGAACAUCUUUGGUGAGUACAGAGUGGAAAACGUUCUUCUCAGCGAUGCCCAUUCCCCUUUGAGCAACAUUGCUUUGUCCUUCAGUCUUUUCUUAAAUUUUGAGGUAUGAGUCCCUAAUGGCACUCAUUUUUCCGACAACCACAUCCAUAAGCAUCCGCUUUCUUGGUGAUAUCGCACAACAAUUGAAUCCUAUCUGCAUCACUGCAACCAAGCAUUCCUCUAAUUUCUUCGCCUUGUUUGGACCAUGAUAGUUACGUCUGGGCGUAACUCUUUCUCGUACUAUGUCAUCGUUAACAUCAUCAUUUGCUUUGAGGUCAAUGAGCAAUGAAGGGUCAACAACGUCCAUCACAUGGUCAGGCAAAGCCAUGGCUGUGAAUUGGUAAAUGUUUAGACCAUCUUUGAACAUGUCAUCAGUGGGCCUUUUUCCGGUGAAUAUUUCUAGCAACAUUAUCCCGUAGCUGUAAACAUCUCCCAGAAUUGAAACUUGGCCUCCCAUGCCAUACUCUGCCAUUGUUAGCAAACAUGUGUAUCUUAUUAUAGCACUCAUAGUCCAGCUCAACAAAGCACUUUAAGAAUUAGUUGGUUGUAAGUUAGCAUGGUUAAUUACUCAGUAAACUAAUCCCUUUAGUGUUACUUCUAAUUAAUCAAACCUUAACUUAGCUGAGUAUCCAGACUUGUAUUUUAUAGACGUUCAUUCAAUCAAUUCUAAGGAUAAAGUUUAUUAACAUUUUCUAAGUACGAUUCAUGAAGUCAAUGUGGAAUUCGAUUAGCCAUGACAUUAUAAACUAAGAUAUCAUAUGCAAAUGCAAUUUGACUUUUACAAAUCAAUAACGUCGUUACAAAUUUUUAUGUUAUGAUUUUUUGUUUGUUAAAAAUAAGAAUUAAUUAGCUAAUUUAGUAAUAAGUUAUUAGGAACAGAAAAAAGAAACUCAUUAUUCAUACCUGGAGGAAUGUAGCCUAUAGAACCCUUCAACUGAGAUGACAUGGUUUGACUAAAGGAGGAAUCAUUUGAUGUUUCAAAGAGGAGCCUUGCUAAACCAAAAUCCCCAACAUGGGCUACCAGAUCUUCAUCAAGAAGUACAUUGCUUGGCUUUAGAUCACAAUGAACAAUAGACGUUUCACAAUGGUGGUGGAGAUAAUCUAAUGCAGAAGCAACAUCAAUGGCAAUGUUCAAUCUUUGCAUAAAACUCAAUCUUUUAUUGGAGAUUCCUCCUCACAUCUUGGAUACAACCAUGAGUCUAGACUUCCAUUUUCCAUGAACUCGAAAACUAGACUUUUGAAGUCCUUGCAUUGAUUAUCAAUGCUUGAGCAUGUUGUUAUGAUCUUGAGAAGAUUACGGUGCCUAACACUUCCUAAAGCUUUGCAUUCAUCAAUGAAACUCUUAGAAGCUCCUUCUUGUUGAAGGUUUAAUACCUUAACAACAACUAUUGUUCCAUCACUAGGAAUUACCCCUUUAUAAACAGAACCGAAACUUCCUGAACCAAUCAGAUUAUCCACAGAGAACCCAUUAGUUGAUUUAACGAGUUCUGAAUAGGAUACGCUUGAUUUCCAAUCCUUAUAAGAGCGUGUAGUUGCAUGUCUAUCUCUUGACUUUUUGAGCAUUGAACAAGCAAUAAAGAAGCACGAUCCAACAAUUAUGAAUGCUAGUGCACAAGCUAUUGGGAUGACUACCUUUGAGGAAAGCAGUCCACGAGAUGAAUGCUGCGAAUUUUUGGGGCAUGGGUGUAGAUGUAAUUGUGGGAUGCCACCACAUAAUCUAUGAUUUCCAACAACUGAGACACUACUAGCAUUUGAAAAAAUCCCUUCUUUAGGCAACUCACCCUCGAAAUUAUUAUAUGAAAGAUUGAGAUAUUUUAGAGCUUCAAGCUUGCCUAUGAAUUCAGGAAUCUGUCCAAAUAAGUUAUUGUCUGAAAUGUACAGUUCUUCCAAGGCUCUUAAAUCCUUAAAAGACUGAGGAAUUUUUCCUUCAAAUUUAUUGGCUUCCAAGUACAGGAACUCCAAACUAACACAUCUGCCGAGGGUGCUGGGGAUUUCACCUGAUAACUUGUUUGAUAUAUUUAGCAUUGUGAGAUGUACCAAAUCGCCUACUUCACUUGGCAGUGAACCAGUCAAAUAAUUGUCGGCAAUUUCCAAGACUUGGAGGUAUACUUCCAGAAUUCUUACGGCAGUCUUUGCUCCUUCAUACAUAUCCUUUAUAGCUUGGAUAUAUGCUACUCGUACUCCUUUUUUCUCUAAAAUCCUCCAAAGAAUGUCUCUUGGGACCCUAUCAUACGCUUUUUCCAAAUCUAUAAAGACCAUGUGUAAAUCCUUUUUCCCAUCUCUAUAUCUUUCCAUCAAUCUUCGUAAGAGAUAGAUUGCCUCCAUGGUUGAGCGCCCUGGCAUGAACCCGAAUUGGUUGUCCGAAACCCGUGUCUCUUGCCUCAAUCUAUGCUCAAUGACUCUCUCCCAGAGCUUCAUUGUAUGUCUCAUUAGCUUAAUACCCCUAUAGUUCAUGCAAUUUUGUACGUCGCCCUUAUUCUUGUAGAUAGGCACCAAAGUGCUCGUUCGCCACUCAUUUGGCAUCUUCUUCGUUUUCAAAAUCCUAUUGAAAAGGUCAGUGAGCCAUGUUAUACCUGUCUCUCCCAAAAGUUUCCACACUUCGAUUGGAGGGGGAGGGCGUCAGGUAGUCAACAGCCGGCACUCCAUGAUCACGUCGAAUCCUUAUGAAAAUGAAUCCAGAACAAAAUCGCGCUAAAGCUAGGGCGUCACCCGUAAGUGGCGCGCUGUGUGGCCCGAGCACAGUGAUAAGUGAGCAAGGGUCGCUGUAUCUCCAUCGGCACCCGGAUGCAGUGUUAAAUGAGCAAGGGGGCCAUAGAAACUUCUUUUCGAACGACUCCACUCAAAGUUGUUUGGGAGCAUAUGCUCCUAUCAACUUUACCCGGGACACACAAAAGAAGUACUUUGAUCCUAUUAGACGGGGGAGGGUGAAGAAGCUAGGACAGAAGGGUAGAGUUCAAGAGAGCAAAAUGCGUUUAGGAACGUGGAAUAUAGGAACCUUAACGGGAAAAUCUAUGGAAGUAGUGGAAGUUAUGGUGAGGAGAAAGGAUAAAUAUUAUGUGCCUACAAGAAACUAAGUGGGUUGGUAGUAAGGCAAAGGAUCUAGAAAACUCAGGGUUUAAACUUUGGUAUUCGGGCACAAAUAGAACGAGAAACGGUGUUGGCAUCAUCGUGGACAAGACCUUGGUACAAGAUGAUGUUGUAGAUGUCAAGAGGGUAGGAGAUAGAAUCAUGGCAAUCAAGAUUGUAAUAGGACAAGAACUUAUCAAUGUGAUUAGUGCGUACGCACCUCAAGUAGGGUUGGAUACGAGUUCAAAGGAGAAAUUUUGGGAAGAUCUUGGAGACUUGGUGCAAGGAAUUGCUCAGACGGAGAAGUUAUUUAUAGGAGGAGAUUUAAAUGGACACGUGGGCAGGGAGAGACAGGCAACUAUGGAGGUUUUCAUGGUGGCCAUGGUUUUUGGGGAGAGAAACGAGGAUGGGGAAGCUAUCUUGGAUUUUGCAAUGGCAUAUGAUCUCUUCUUAGCCAACACCUUCUUUAAGAAGAGAGAAGAACAUGUGAUCACCUACAAGAGUGGGUCGUCAAAAACACAAAUAGAUUUUCUUCUAAUGAGGAAAGGGGAUCGUAUAACUUGUAAGGAUUGCAAAGUUAUACCAGGAGAGAGAGCGUGGCUAAUCAACAUCGCUUGUUGGUGAUGGAUGUACAUAUCAAAAGAGUAAGACAAAAGAACAAGACUUGGAAGUGCCCAAGGACUAGAUGGUGGAAUCUAAAAGAAGAAAAAACAAGCCAUUUUCAAAGAGAAGGUAAUCACCCAAUGUGUGUGGGAUAGAGAGGGGGAAGCUAGCCAAAUGUGGGAUUCCAUGGCUAGUUGUAUCCGAAAAGUAGCAAAAGAGGUAUUAGGAGAGUCCAAGGGCUUUGCCCCACACCAAAAGGAAUCUUGGUGGUGGAAUGAGGAGGUACAAAAACAAAGGUGAAGGCUAAGAAGGAAUGUUGUAAAGCCUUAUACAAGGAGAGGACCGAUGAAAAUGGUGAAAGGUAUAGAAAAGCGAAGCAAGAGGCGAAGAAAGCUGUCAGAGAAGCUAAGUUAGCGGCUUACGACGAUAUGUAUAAACGACUAGAUACCAAAGAAGGAGAGAGUUGGAUAUCUAUAAACUAUCUAGAGCAAGGGAAAAGAAGACAAGGGACUACCUAAACCAAGUGAGGUGCAUCAAGGAUGAGGAUGGAAAGGUUCUUGCUACAGAGAACGCGGUUAAAGACAGAUGGAGAGGUUUAUUUUCAUAAUCUUUUCAAUGAAGGACAUGAAAUGAGUGCUUCUUUAGGGGAGUUGAGUAACUCAGAAGAGUGUAGAAAAACUACUCAUUUUUUAUCGUCGUCGAAUCCGGAAGGAAGAAGUGGUUGUAGCUUUGAAGAAGAUGAAGCAUAAAAAAGCAAUAGGCCCAGACGAUAUACCAAUCGAAGUGUGGAAACUUUUGGGAGAGACAGGUAUAACAUGGCUCACUGACCUUUUCAAUAGGAUUUUGAAAACGAAGAAGAUGCCAAAUGAGUGGCGAACGAGCACUUUGGUGCCUAUCUACAAGAAUAAGGGCGACGUACAAAAUUGCAUGAACUAUAGGGGUAUUAAGCUAAUGAGUCAUACAAUGAAGCUCUGGGAGAGAGUCAUUGAGCAUAGAUUGAGGCAAGAGACACGGGUUUCGGACAACCAAUUCGGGUUCAUGCCAGGGCGCUCAACCAUGGAGGCAAUCUAUCUCUUACGAAGAUUGAUGGAAAGAUAUAGAGAUGGGAAAAAGGAUUUACACAUGGUCUUUAUAGAUUUGGAAAAAGCGUAUGAUAGGGUCCCAAGAGACAUUCUUUGGAGGAUUUUAGAGAAGAAAAGGAGUACGAGUAGCAUAUAUCCAAGCUAUAAAGGAUAUGUAUGAAGGAGCAAAGACUGCCGUAAGAACUCAUGAAGGACAAACCGAAAGCUUUCCCAUAACUGUAGGAUUACAUCAAGGCUCAUCCUUAAGUCCUUACCUUUUUGCGUUGGUAAUGGAUGAGUUAACAGGACAUAUUCAAGAUGAUAUUCCUUGGUGUAUGCUUUUCGCAGACGAUAUAGUGUUGAUAGAUGAAACUCAGGAAGGGGUAAAUGCAAAGCUUAACCUUUGGAGAGAAGUGUUGGAAUCUAAAGGUCUUCGCCUAAGCCGAUCAAAGACAGAAUAUAUGGAGUGCAAGUUCAGUGCAAAUGGAGGCCAAAACGAGUUAGGGGUGAGGAUCGGAGAUCAAGAAAUACCAAAGAGCGACCGUUUUCGUUACCUAUAGGAUCUAUCUUGCAAAAGAACGGAGAAUUAGAUGGAGAUCUCAACCAUAGAAUACAAGCUGGAUGGAUGAAGUGGAAGAGUGCAUCCGGCGUGUUGUGUGACCGCCGUAUGCCACUGAAGCUCAAGGGAAAAUUUUAUAGGACGGCAAUAAGGCCGGCGAUGCUGUAUGGCACAGAAUGUUGGGCGGUGAAACAUCAACACGUACACAAAAUGGGUGUAGCGGAGAUGAGGAUGCUUCGUUGGAUGUGUGGGCACACGAGAAAGGAUAAGAUUAGGAAUGAGGAUAUCCGGGGUAAAGUAGGAGUAGCCGAAAUUGAAGGAAAGAUGAGAGAAAAUCGGUUACGGUGGUUUGGACAUGUGCAAAGAAGGCCUACUGACGCUCCGAUUAGAAGAGAUGCGACUAUGGGACAGAGGUUCAGGGCCGAAGGGGUAGAGGAAGACCUAGGAAAACUUUGGAAGAGACUCUAAGAAAAGACUUAGAGUACUUGGAUCUAACGAAGGACAUGACACAGGAUCGAGCACAAUGGCGUUCUAAGAUUCAUAUAGCCGAUCCCACUCAGUGACUUGGAUUUUCCAAGUCUCCAACCGAGAAGUUUUCCUCACUCGGGAAAAUUAAGGGAACACUACCCCCAACCUACAUGCUCCACUCAGAAAGCUUCAACAUACAAGCUUCAACAAAAGAAAAUUCAAAGAACUUAGCGAAGAAGGCUUUGGUGUAUUUAACACAAUACGUUGAAAUGAAGGAAAAGCUUAUUUAUUGAUAUCCCCGAUAAGCUACAAAUAUGUACAUAUACAUGAGUCAAAAUAAACACACAAGAGAGAGCCUUCACAAAGGUUGCUUAGGAGAAGUCUCAGCAGUCGGUAGAGCCCCAGAAAGAGAAGGCACCGGAGGGGGAUCAUUUGGAGUCUCAGUACUGGACAGAACUCUAGAAGGAGGAGGCAUCAGAGGUUGAUCAUUUGGAGCUUCAUUACGCGGUACAGCCCCAGAAGACGAAGGCAAUAAAUGCCUUUGGAACAAACCCACAAAUCUCUGAUGAUCAAGUAAAACCUGACCAUCAGUUUCCUUCAUCUGGUCAAGCUUCCUCUUCAUGUUUGUAGCAUAGUCAUGUGCGAGAGCCGGUGCAACUGUUUAUUCUCAUGCUUGAGCCCUCUAAUCUCCUGUUUGAGACUCAUCACUUCAGCCGCCAAUGAUUCAACUUGGCGGGUUCGAGCAAAUAGGCGUUGGGCCAUAUUAGACACAAAAACCUGCACACUGAACACUGAGAGCCAGCGAAUCCUUAACAGCUAACUCAUCAGACCGUUUGGAAAGUAGUCUGUUAUCUUUGGGAGUGAGAAGGUUCCUGGCCACCACCGCAGCGGUCAUAUCAUUCUUCAUCACGGAAUCCCCAACGGUAAGAGGACCAGUAGGGGAGACGAAGGAUGGGCGCCAUAUGUUGUCUGGAGAAGGCGGGGCUGCCUCUUCAACAAGGUUCAAGUCAAAACGACGGUCGGAGGGGCCAGACAUUUUCAAAGGUGUUGAAGAGAGAAGAGGUCGGACAAAUCAAGAUCUUAGAAGUGCAAGAAUGAAGCUUCUACUGGUGGAGAUUCAAGUGUGCUUUGGAACUUAAUGCCAGCCCCUAUAAAAAUCUGCACUCGACGGAGCUUCAGAAAUCGAAGAGGCGCCUGCUCAGAAAUCGAAGAGGCGUUUGCUUUCUCAAAAGCUGGGCUGCUUAGAGAUCACGAGGGUUGAUCUCAGAAAUCGAAGAGGCGUUUGCUUUCUCAAAAGUUGGGCUGCUGCUCAAAGACCACGAAGGCCGAUCUCAGAAAUCGAAGAGGCGCUCGCUUUCUCAAAAGCUGGGCUCCCCAGAGACCACGAGGGCCGAUCUCAGAAAUCGAAGAGGCACCUACUUUUCCAGCCUUGUCAGCACCUGUCACACGCACACUCAGCUUUGCUGAAAUUAUGGGCAUUCUGUCGAAGACUUCUGGGGAAGUAGAAAACACAUGAAUCUUACUGUUCAAUCACCCACUUCCCACACGCAACAAUAGCUCAUGGGUACCACAGAUAACUUUGCCAAAGUUCUCUGCCAAAGUUGAGCACGUGAAGCUUGCAGCUCCCUCUACAUCGCUCUGACCAAGAAGGGUAAAAGAAUAGCAAAGAAACAGCACUAACAAAGUUUAGACCCAUAAAUUUUGAAGGUCUAGCUACCAUAUUAUUACCCACAAGGGUAAAGGAACAGUACCAUUGCUGGAUAAUUGGAAAGUCCCUGUGUGUCAACCUCUGUGCUUCGCGGCAAGGUAGACUAGCAAACAUGCCCAACCUUUACUCACAUUCGAGAAAACACUCCCAAUAAGAUUGCGAAGAGAGGGUAAAGGAACAGUACCAUUGCUGGAUAAUUGGAAAGUCCCUGUGUGUCAACCCCUGUGCUUCGUGGCAAGGUAGACUAGCAAACAUGCCCAACCUUUACUCACAUUCGAGAAAACACUCCCAACAAGAUUGCUUGCUCCAAAAUCGAAGAGGCACCGCCCUCCGAAUCUCGAGAGCCAGACUCCCAACAUGAUUACUUUCUCAAAAAUCGAAGAGACACUACUCCCCGAAUCUUCGAGAGCCAGACCCCCAGCAUGAUUGCUUUCUCAAAAAUCGAUGAGGCAUCGUUCUCCGAAUCAAUCGAAGAGGCGCUCGCUUUCUCUCAAAAGCUGGGCUGCUCAGAGACCACGAGGGCCGAUCUCAGAAAUCGAAGAGGCACCUACUUUUCUAGCCUUUGUCAGCACCUGUCACACGCACACUCAGCUUUGCAGAAAUUAUGGGCAUUCUGUCGAAGACUUCUGGUGAAGUAGAAAGCACAUGAAUCUUACUGUUCAAUCACCCACUUCCCACACGCAACAAUAGCUCAUGGGUACCACACAGAUAACUUUGCCAAAGUUCUCUGCCAAAGUUGAGCACGUGAAGCUUGCAGCUCCCACACUACAUCGCUCUGACCAAGAAAGGUAAAAGAAGAAUAGCAAAGAAACAGCACUAACAAAGUUUAGACACAUAAAUUUUGAAGGUCUAGCUACCAUAUUAUUACCCACAAGGGUAAAGGAACAGUACCACUGCUGGAUAAUUGAAAAGUCCCUGUGUGUCAACCUCUGUGCUUCGUGGCAAGGUAGACUAGCAAACAUGCCCAACCUUUACUCACAUUCGAGAAAACACUCCCAACAAGAUUGCUUGCUCCAAAAUCGAAGAGGCACCGUUCUCCGAAUCUCGAGAGCCAAACUCCCAACAUGACUACUUUCUCAAAAUCGAAGAGAGGGUAAAGGAACAGUACCAUUGCUGGAUAAUUGGAAAGUCCCUGUGUGUCAACCUUUGUGCUUCGUGGCAAGGUAGACUAGCAAACAUGCCCAACCUUUACUCACAUUCGAGACAACACUCCCAACAAGAUUGCUUGCUCCAAAAUCGAAGAGGCCGCCCUCCGAAUCUCGAGAGCCAGACUCCCAACAUGAUUACUUCCUCAAAAAUCGAAGAGACACUGCUCUCCGAAUCUCGAGAGCCAGACCCCCAGCAUGAUUGCUUUUCUCAAAAAAUCGAAGAGACAUCGUUCUCCGAAUCUCGAGAGCCAGAUACCACAGACCACUUUUUCAAAAGUGCUCUGACAGAGUUAAAAAAUGUGAAACUGGCAGCUCCCACUACCGUGCUAUGACCAAGCAGGGUAAAGGAAUAGCAUUACUACUUGUUGUUAGGGAGACUCCUAUAUAUGUCGACCCCCAUCCCCAACGGACAGGCAGACCUGCAAAAAUGCCCAACCCUUCAUCAUAUCUGAGAGGGCACUCCCAACGAAGCCUUUCGAAAUAUUCAGCUUUCUUUCCCCCCGAUAAUACCUCUGCAAACAAGCUAUACUAGAGCAAGAAUAUCUCAUAUCAUCAGGGUUAAAAGCAAGAGUAUCCCCAUAUCAUGCUUUUUUCCCUGUCUUUUCCUUUGGCCUUGUUUUUACCUGCAAGACAAGGAGAAAGAGAGCAAUCAGUCAGCACUUGGAAUCAAGCUUCCAGCCAGGAACUGACUGCCUGGAACCCCUUACCUGAUUACUUACCUGGCAUUGCUCUCGAGUACUCAUCUUCAACAUCUUAUGUUUCCAGGGAAGAUUCCGCAUCUGCUUGAGGAACAGAUAGGGCAAGUGCGAAGGAUACAAGGAAGCAUGUGGGAGACAAGCGUAACAGCACACGUGCCGAUACAUCCAUUACUCUGUCAAAAGCAAAAGUAUCCCAUAUCAGCAGGGUGGAACGUACCCUAGAUUUGAAUGGACUUGUUUUGACCCUCAAAUUCUUCAGUCGGCCUUAUACUCUGGAGGAAACCAGAAAACCCUCCAGCUCAGUUCAAGAAUAAGCCUGUGGAAAGUUACUUCUUCAAAAGCAAAAGUAUCUCAUAUCAUCUCUUCUCAUUUUUCUUCUCUUUAUCCUUCAUGCUGCUGCAAGAUGGGGAGAAGGUGAACAAUCAGUCGGAGCUCUGAUUGCUUACCUUGUCUGUCACCUCUUUCAGCAGACCCCCUAGCUCGGCGACUUGGGGGACUCCUACUACAUGGUUUGUAUCGCGCUUGACCAAGCCUGAAACUACAAGUAAGCUUCAAGUGAAAUUGAUACAUUACCUUGUGCAUCUCCACCAGUUAAAGAUACCACCCCUGGAUGGAGGAAGAGUAUUUUCCAGAGAAGAUGCCACAUCUACCUAUGAGACAGAUAAGGCAAGUCAAGACGACACCACACUCCAAUACUUAGAAGUUUCGUGAUUACGAGAUCAUUCUCCCACAAUAUUUCCUAAUGUCAUUUGUACUAAAUCAUUCACUUGUACUCACUAAAGGAGAGCUUGAACCUAUGUACUUGUGUAAACCCUUCACAAUUAAUGAGAACUCUUCUAUUCCGUGGACGUAGCCAAUCUGGGUGAACCACGUACAUCUUGUGUUUGCUUUCCUAUCUCUAUCCAUUUAUAUACUUAUCCACACUAAUGACCGGAGCAAUCUAGCGAAGAUCACAAAAAGCGACCGUUUUCGCUACCUAGGAUCUAUCUUGCAAGAGAACGGAGAAUUAGAUGGAGAUCUCAACCAUAGAAUACGAGCUGGAUGGAUGAAGUGUAAGAGUGCAUCCAGCGUGUUGUGUGACCGUCGUAGGCCACUGAAGCUCAAGGGAAAAUUUUAUAGGACGGCAAUAAGGCCAGCGAUGUUGUAUGGCACAGAAUGUUGGGCGGUGAAGCAUCAACACGUACACAAAAUGGGUGUAGCGGAGAUGAGGAUGCUUCGUGGGAUGUGUGGGCACACGAGAAAUGAUAAGAUUGGGAAUGAGGAUAUCCGAGGUAAAGCAGGAGUAGCCGAAAUUGUAGGAAAGAUGAGAGAAAAUCGGCUCCGGUGAUUUGGACAUG
rnacentral:lncRNA from 1 species